AACGCACGAGACCUGCGGACCUGCGGAAGGAUCAUUAUUGAAUAAAUUGCCUUGAUGGGUUGUAGCUGGCCUCUCGAGGCAUGUGCACGCCUGUCUUGACUCUAUUCAUCCACCUGUGCACCUUUUGUAGUUCAAAGGUUUUGUUCAGUUGAAAUAAACUGGAUUUGAGGAUUGCUUAUUUGCGGGCUUUCCUCUGUUUGGCCUGCGAACUAUGUACUUUAUCAUAAACCAUGUAGUAUG
rnacentral:misc_RNA from 1 species